rnacentral:rRNA from 1 species
CAAUAGCGUAUAUUAAAGUUGUUGCAGUUAAAAAGCUCGUAGUUGGAUUUCUGGUAGGAGCGACCGUGCCGAACUUGAUUGUUCGAGUAUUGUGUUGUCUUCAGCCAUCCUCGUGGAGAACUUUUCUAACAUUAACUUGUUGGGAUUGGGACCCGCGUCGUUUACUGUGAAAAAAUUAGAGUGUUUAAAGCAGGCAUUAGCUUGAACACAUUAGCAUGGAAUAAUAAGAUAGGACUUUGGUACUAUUUUGUUGGUUUGCAUACCAAAUUAAUGAUCAACAGGAACAGUUUGAGGAUAUUCGUAUGAACAUGUCAGAGGUGAAAUUCUUGGAUUUUGAUCAGACGAACUACUGCGAAAGCAUUUAUCAAGGAUGUUUUCAUUAA